rfam:Brucella melitensis biovar Abortus 2308 chromosome I, complete sequence, strain 2308
GGCUCUAUUGACCUCCGAGCCAGUCACCUAACGUCAUGAAUUGGACCCGCUCCCAUUGAAGCGGGUCAUUUUUUUGAAAGCAUUCCCUGA